ACGUAGAUAAUCUCGAAAGUAUAAAAGACUGGGUUUGUGAAACAGGACCUGACAAUCAAGGUCUUGGUGAUAAUCAAUAAACAAAUUGUGAAUAGUUUGUUGAUAGCCUUUUUGAGGAAGCUCAGAAGGUUGGUUCCAAAUGCUUGUCUCCCACUUAACAAAAGAAACAGGUAGACGUAAACAUAAAAUUAUGGAAAAAUGGAUUCACCGUCAACAAUUAUUUCAGAAGUUAUUCAAAUGGUGCAAGUCAGCAGUUUCUGAACUCCAUCAAAAAGGGGGAAUUACCUUCAGAAUUACAGGGAAUUUUUGAUAAAGAGGUGGGUGUUAAAGUUGAAGACAAGAAAAAUGAAACAUAUAUGUCUACGAAGCCUGUCUUCCAGCUCUUUUCAGGACAGGGUCACCAAGUAGGAAGGGUAAGCCAUAUCAAAGACUUCAUUGAAAACUACCAAGGAUCUCAAAAGAAGUCCUCCCCUGUCCCUGGCAACAGUUUGUCCUAUCCUCAGAUUGUUAGAUGAGACACUCACACUGGAAGAAGCAGAUUUACAGAGUUUUGUUGUCAGAGACUCCAAAAAACUGCUGCACCAUUGAUUUUUGAUAG
rnacentral:lncRNA from 1 species